rnacentral:rRNA from 1 species
AUUGAACGCUGGCGGCAGGCCUAACACAUGCAAGUCGAGCGGAUGAAGGGAGCUUGCUCCUGGAUUCAGCGUUGGACGGGGGUGUAUUGCCUAUAAAUCUGCCUGGUAGUGGGGGAUAACGUCCGUAAACGGGCGCUACUACUGCAUCCGACUUGUAGGUGUUACUUGGGGAUCUUUUGACCUCACGCUUUCCGAUGAUACUAGGUCGGAUUAGCUUGUUGGUGGGGUAAAGGCCUACCAGGGCUACGAACCGCAACUGGACUUAGAGGAUGAUCAGUCAAACUGGAACUGGAACACGGUCAGGCGUCCUACGGGGGGAGGCAGUGGGGAAUAUUGGAAAAUGGGCGAAAGCUUGAUCCAGACAUGCGGGGUGUGUGAAGAAGGUUUUGGGAUUGUAAAGCCCUUUAUGUUGGAAGGAAGAGCAGUAAGUUAAUACGUUGAUGUUGUGACGUUACCAACAGAGUAAGCACCGGCUAACUACGUG